CCUACGGGGGGCAGCAGUGGGGAAUAUUGGACAAUGGGCGAAAGCCUGAUCCAGCCAUGCCGCGUGUGUGAAGAAGGCCUUUUGGUUGUAAGGCACUUUAAGCGAGGAGGAGGCUACUUGGAUUAAUACUCUAGGAUAGUGGACGUUACUCGCAGAAUAAGCACCGGCUAACUCUGUGCCAGCAGCCGCGGUAAUACAGAGGGUGCGAGCGUUAAUCGGAUUUACUGGGCGUAAAGCGUGCGUAGGCGGCUUUUUAAGUCGGAUGUGAAAUCCCUGAGCUUAACUUAGGAAUUGCAUUCGAUACU
rnacentral:rRNA from 1 species